rnacentral:rRNA from 1 species
CCUACGGGGGGCAGCAGUGAGGAAUAUUGGUCAAUGGACGAGAGUCUGAACCAGCCAAGUAGCGUGAAGGAUGACUGCCCUAUGGGUUGUAAACUUCUUUUAUAUGGGAAUAAAAUGUUCCACGUGUGGGAUUUUGUAUGUACCAUAUGAAUAAGGAUCGGCUAACUCCGUGCCAGCAGCCGCGGUAAUACGGAGGAUCCGAGCGUUAUCCGGAUUUAUUGGGUUUAAAGGGAGCGUAGGUGGAUUGUUAAGUCAGUUGUGAAAGUUUGCGGCUCAACCGUAAAAUUGCAGUUGAAACUGGCAGUCUUGAGUACAGUAGAGGUGGGCGGAAUUCGUGGUGUAGCGGUGAAAUGCUUAGAUAUUACGAAGAACUCCGAUUGCGAAGGCAGUUCACUGGACUGCAACUGACACUGAGGCUCGAAAGUGUGGGUAUCAAACAGGAUUAGAUACCCUUGUAGUC